rnacentral:rRNA from 1 species
UACGUAGGGUGCGAGCGUUAAUCGGAAUUACUGGGCGUAAAGCGUGCGCAGGCGGAUGUUUAAGUCAGAUGUGAAAUCCCCGGGCUCAACCUGGGAAUGGCAUUUGAAACUGGGCAUCUAGAGUGCGUCAGAGGGGGGUGGAAUUCCACGUGUAGCGGUGAAAUGCGUAGAGAUGUGGAGGAACACCGAUGGCGAAGGCGGCCCCCUGGGAUGACACUGACGCUCAUGCGCGAAAGCGUGGGGAGCAAACAGGAUUAGAUACCCUGGUAGUCCACGCCCUAAACGAUGUCAACUAGUUGUUGGGGACGUAAGUUCUUAGUGACGAAGCUAACGCGUGAAGUUGCCCGCCUGGGGAGUACGGCCGCAAGGUUG